GGACGAACGCUGGCGGCGUGCUUAACACAUGCAAGUCGAGCGGUAAGGCCCUUUCGGGGGUACACGAGCGGCGAACGGGUGAGUAACACGUGGGUGACCUGCCCUCCAGCGUCUGGGAUAAGACCUGGGAAACCGGGUCUAAUACUGGAUAUGACUCCAUGACGCAUGUUGUGGGGUGGAAAGACCUUGUGCGGCUGAGGAUGGGCCCGCGGCCUAUCAGCUUGUUGGUGGGGUGAUGGCCUACCAAGGCGACGAC
rnacentral:rRNA from 1 species